UCGUUGUGGUGGGUGGGUCUUAUCGCUCCCUCGGGAAAGCUGGGUCAGCCAUCUUGAAUUUGCACGAUGUGGAGAUGCUAAUGGCGGUAUACGCAAGCCGACGUAGAACAUUUCAUUAGUUUUUUUAUCUGUUUGCGGCUGUCACUUUCAUCAAACUACCACCACUUCCUUUUCUUCAUUGGCCCUAUUGCCGUCGUUUUCUCAAGUGCCGUCUAAUCAGCCCAGAUUUGGUCCCUAAACCGUCCACUAGAUAUCAGCAGGAGCUGCUCUCACCUGGAAUGAGGAUGGUGAUGGCCGCCUGCACAGCCCUCCGAAUGAUGUUAUCCAUGGCGAACAUCCAGUGAGGUUUGAUGUGAUGGUUCCUGAGCACCUUGUUGACCUGAAGGGAAAAAACAGUAACACCAUUUAAUGACUAGAUACCUUCAGAGAAAAGUCUUUUGUGUGCGUGUGUGUUCUCUGACCGAGUCCUGGAAGCCAAAGAGCACCAACUGGAUCUGGUUGAUGGAGGUGGAGUCAAAGUCUAGGUCCAGCUUGAGCUUGGAGAUGGUGGCCGCCAUGACGCGCCUCUCUGGGGAAUGAAUGAAGUCUCGGAGGAUGCAGAUGAUCUGCUUGAUGUGCUCCACGGACAGCUGGAGCUCUUCGCUGCCCUGAUAUCACAGAUAUCAGCAAAGGUCCCAGAACGUGGGAGGUUUCAUCAACCUUAAACAUGGCGGCUUGAGGCUCCCCCAGCUCAUGGAAGGGAGGCUUCCCGGUGGCCAUUUCGAUGAUGGUGCACCCCAGGGACCAGAUGUCUGCUGGGGCCCCGUAGCCCCGAGGACCCUUAUCGAUGAUUUCUGGGGCCAUGUACUGCAGAGUGCCUACACAGCAACUCUGCUCAACUCAGCAACUUUUGCAACUCUUAUGAAGCAGUUCAGGAGAAGAGUUAGCUUGCAACAAAGCAUUUCAUAGCACAGGAACCCCAUUUGGUUGCACCACAUGACUCACUAUCAAUGAGUCAGUGUGAUUCCCCCCAUUCAAUCAGCAAGAUAUGGAAUUUGCUUUCCACAAUGACCUAAAGGGUUCAGAGAGGGCAGGGAACAAUAAAAGGCAGCGUCAGAGAAGUGAUAAGGACACACACACACACCUACUAAUGAAAGAUAAACACCAUUCUGCCUCUGCUUGAUUAGCUAAUCUAAUUACACACAGUCCUGCAGCCACUGGAGAUGGCCAGAUGGUGCAUGAAUGUGCAUGUCCGUGUUCAUCGUCCUGCUAAGUGUGUCCACAGAUAGCAACUAGCGACGUGAUGUCAUGAAUAAGUACACUUAAAUGGAUUGACUCCAGCCAGCCGCUUGGAGGUACCAAAGUCUGAGAUCUUCAAGACGCCGCUGUAGGUGUUGACCAGCACGUUGUCACCCUGGUAUCGCAGCCCCUCCAGGAUCUGUCGGGUGUAGAAGAUGAUGGUGGCCUCCUUCAGGGGACCCCAUUUGGAGCGCAGCAAGGCCGACAAGCUCCCUGGAGGAAAGAGGUCCAUCAUGACCAGCAUUUUUAGGGCAGUACAUCUUCACAAGGGAGAGUAUCGUAUUGCACAACACAAAGCCCAAAUACUGGACGAUGUUCCUGUGCUUGAGGUACUUGUGCAGAGCGAUCUCUUCGUGAAGAGGCUGCGAGUACCUGACAUAUAAGGAAGAAACAAGGUUACUCAUCACCAACAAGUAUAAAUGCGAGGGAUGGAGUCAUCAGGUACCUGCUGUCCCUCUCUGGGAUCUCCUUGAUGGCAAUUCGGACCUGGUUGCUGAGGUCCCUCCCAGCGUACACGACCCCGUAGGUACCUCGUCCCAGCACCACCCGGUCCCCCGUCUCGUCGAUGUCGUACUCGUACUGAAACACAUCAGACACACCAGAUGACACUCCACACCAGAUGAUGUGGAACCUGAUGUGGAAUUAUCUGACACAAACUGACCUCCAGUGUGUCACCGUCGCCUUCUCCUUCCAGCUCCACCGAGUUCCCGGUCCCGUCCGAUAUCAUCUCCUUCACCAUGGAGCAGAACCUGGGAGGACACAGGUUCACUUCCACUGCAACCAAAAUGACUUGUCGUGGUGUCCAACCUUACCGUGCACACUGCUCCUCGGUGGAGAAGUAAAUCUGGAAGUCGUCAGAGUUGUCGUGGACGUAGAGGAAGCAGCAGCGUUCAUCAAAUUUGCUGAUACUGCAGACAGAUAUGUUUUAAAUAUCCAUGCCAGAGGAGCAGGGUGAAUGACCCCUAACUGGAGGUCAUGUCAGCCAAUAAAAUGGUUCCUAAACUUGGUUUCAUAAGCAUCUUCUACCUGAUGCCUUUGAUGGACAUCGUGGUGAAGUUCCACUCGUGGAUGCCCUUCUACAACACAUCAAGAAAACGGAUGGUCACCGACCACGAUGAAGCUUUCAUUCAUUCCGUGGACAAAAAAACACAACCGACUGUUUCAGCAGGAGAAACAUGCCAGAUGGAGACGUUCUUCUCUUCCGCCUCGUUGUUGAUGGACACGUAUGAUGGUUGGUAGACCUUCGUGGGUUCCAGAAUCAGCACCUGUAACGAGACACCAUGGUGACGGUCUUGGGACGACGGGGUCCAUCUUGAUGUGAAUCCGUACAGGAAAGCGCAGUCGGUUGGUGGUCCCCUGCGUGGCCUCCACAAUGAUGUCCAUCCAGAAGUUGAGUCGGUCCCUCUGGGGGGAAUGCUCCAUGUUCUGCUUCUUGAACCUCUGGAUCAGCUGCAAGUUCUGCACCACCGAGCGCAGGUACCUGGACACAGUGCUCCAGUUACCAAAAUCUGGACCGCUCCCAGGUCCAGCCAUCCAUUAUCUCCCAUGAGGAUCUCACCAGAGAGGGGGCUUCAGUUUGAAGAGCUUCUCAGCAGCUUGAGUGGCCUUAGGGAUGUCGUUAGCCAGCAUGCUAACGGUGAAGAACUGCCCCACGUCCCAGUAGUUGUUCAUUUUCUCCAGGGAACCUUUGCGCCCCAGCAAACUGUUCAACCGAACACCUGAGAAAUAUUUGUUAUCAUUUACAUGCAUGAUCUGGAGUGCAUGAGAAAGGGGAGAGUCACUCUCUUUGAGUAGUGUUAUGAAACACUGUUCAGACACACUGCCGAGCAGAAACAUUUUAAAGUGCGUGCAGAGCUAGAUCAAGCUACUAGAUGCUGACCACUCAAGAUACCUCAAAUGCAGCUAUUUCCAUCUUGUGCAGGAAAAAAAGGUUGUCAGAAAUUAUUUGCUUUAGUGCGUCACACUAGAGUCUUUAUAGACCUGAAAUUCUGGAUCCGCUUACCAAUUUUCCUAAGUUCCAUGGAGCUCUCAAACUGUUGCCCGGCGACUAUGAGGAGAACGGCCAGGUUGAUGCCAGAGUAGAGUGUGGGUUGCAGCUCAAAGCCCUUUCUGUACCUGCAACAGUUCUUAGCCUCAAUCGCACGUCCAUUCUCCUUCCGAGACCAGAAGCGUGUCCUUACCACUGUAUGGCAUUGUCCCUGUUCUUGGUGUCCUUGCAGUCCGAGUCCAGGAAGAUGUCUUUGUAGAUCCGUCCGCACAGGCAGAACAUGUCCGGCGCAGGAUGCUCACAGGACUGCAGGACCUGCAGCAUCACCCGUAGCGCUUGCUCCCUGUCGCCGGGACUGUUUCUCCUGCGAGUCAAGAUGUUAGGAUGAGGUACAUCAACGUGUUCCUGUCUCUCCAGACCAGUACCUGUUUAGUGCAAAGGCGUAGUGGAACUGGAUCAUGGGCUGGGUUGCCAGGUCGCAGGUCGGCAGCAUCUCCAAGGUCUGCACCAGUUUGACCAUGGCAUCGUAGUCCUGGAUGUCUCUGUAGGAGAAGAGCAGGUUCAUGACGAUGUCCUGCGUGAGGACCUCGGUGUUGUCGAUGCGGAGCUUAAUGCGGGAGAGCUCCUUGGCCAGCUCCUCGCCCUGAUACUUCUCCCUGGCCUUCCUGAUGUCGUUCAGCAAGGUGUCCUUAAAGGAGGCGCUAGAGGGACACGAGAAAGUUUGCUGCAAAAGAAGUUAUAAGUUGCACUGAACCUGCGUCGUAGAAGCUGUCCAACACGGAGGUCUCUCCAAAGUCGAGCCUCCCGAAGGUGACUGUGGUCAGCAGGGCACUCUCGGCGUCACACGCCCGCUGGAGGCACUGCAGCGCCCCGGACUCCGGACUGCUGGCCAUCACCGCCUUCAGACCGUCGUUCAGUACGUACACGACCCGCAGGGAGCGCUGCUUGGCCGGGGGACUGGGGCUGGACAGCUCGGCCCUCUCCCGGUCUCUCUCCAGCUGCACGCACAUACCCGCCGAGUGCUCGCCUGCCAUGUCCGCCGCCUGCGCGCUCUGGCCCGGCUCCAUAGCGGCGUCAGUGUGGGUGGGCUUCCCGGUGAUGCCCUGCGGUCAAGUGUGCUGCUGAUCGUCCCGGAUCGUCGGUGUCCUCCCGGGGCUCACCUGGCGCACACCUGUCGUCUCGGAGAGGAGAGCGUCUGAGUUUGUUCCCGGACAUGUCCGCCUCAUUAAGUCACAUCAGAGGCCGAUUAUCUCGCACCAAGAGGUCCGCUUGGCCCGGACCGGUUGCGACUAGAUCCCUUCAGAGGACGGAAGUGGAGGAAGUCACACUACAUACACACGCCCGCACAUACACACACAUUCACAUCUAGGGAUCAUAGGGGUAG